UACGUAGGGUGCAAGCGUUAAUCGGAAUUACUGGGCGUAAAGCGUGCGCAGGCGGCCAUGCAAGACAGAUGUGAAAUCCCCGGGCUCAACCUGGGAACUGCAUUUGUGACUGCAUGGCUAGAGUACGGCAGAGGGGGAUGGAAUUCCGCGUGUAGCAGUGAAAUGCGUAGAUAUGCGGAGGAGCACCGAUGGCGAAGGCAAUCCCCUGGGCCUGUACUGACGCUCAUGCACGAAAGCGUGGGGAGCAAACAGG
rnacentral:rRNA from 1 species